rfam:Gossypium hirsutum cultivar TM-1 chromosome 8, whole genome shotgun sequence
UGUUAAAAAUUUCAUUCAUUUGUACUAUUAAAAACGGGUGUAGCUAAUAGAAUAACCAAACAAUAACACAUGGGGUGCCAAGUGUACUUGUGUUGACGUACAUGGACUAAUUUUUAAUAGUAGAAAUGGUCCAAAUGGAUGAAUUUUUUAACA